UUCGGUUAAGUUAUAAAGGGCAUAUGGUGGAUGCCUUGGUACGAGAAGUCGACGAAGGACGUGGAUACCUGCGAUAAGCUACGGCGAGGCGGAAAACAGCCUAUGAACCGUAGAUUUCCGAAUGGGGCAACCCGAUCGUGGUAAUGCGCGAUCAUACGCGCCUGAAUAUAUAGGGCGCGAUAGGACAACCCGGAGAACUGAAACAUCUAAGUACCCGGUGGAAAAGAAAGCAACAGCGAUUUCCCUAGUAGCGGCGAGCGAACGGGAAUUAGUCUAAACCGUUUAACGCGUUAAAGGCGGCAACCCUUGCGUUGACGGGGUCGCGGGACAAGCUGCGAGUCGUUUGCCGACGGCUCAAGGAGUAAGAAAUCAAAUCGUUAGUCGAAUCCUCUGGAAAGUGGAGCCGCAGAAGGUGAUAGCCCUGUAGGCGAAAACGAGUUGACUCCUUAGUUUGUUCCCAAGUACCGCGGAGCACGUGGAAUUCCGUGGGAAUCCGGGAGAACCAUCUCCUAAGACUAAAUACUCUCUCGUAACCGAUAGUGAACCAGUACCGUGAGGGAAAGGUGAAAAGCACCCUUAUUAAGGGAGUGAAAAAGUACCUGAAACCAUAUGCUUACAAGCGGUGGGAGCUCCGACAUUAGUCGGGGUGACCGCGUGCCUUUUGGAUAAUGAGCCUACGAGUCGCUCGUCCGUUGCAAGGUUAACAAGUUCAGCUUGGUAGCCGAAGCGAAAGCGAGUCCUAAUCGGGCGUUGAGUAACGGGCGGCGGACGCGAAACCGGGUGAGCUACCCUUGACCAGGAUGAAGUGAGGGUAAAACCUCAUGGAGGUCCGAACCAUUGCGGGUUGAAAACCGCUUGGAUGAGGUGAGGGUAGGGGUGAAAGGCCAAUCAAACCCGGAGAUAGCUCGUAUUCCUCGAAAUAGCUUUAGGGCUAGCCUCGAGAUAGUGUUGCGGAGGUAGAGCGCUGAUUGGGCUAGGGCUGUCACAACGGUACCAAACCCAGACAAACUCCGAAUGCCGCACACACGUUUCUCGGGAGUCAGGCGGUGGGGGAUAAGCUUCAUCGCCAAGAGGGAAACAACCCAGAUCGCCGGCUAAGGUCCCCAAAUAGCGGUUAACAGAGAAAGGAUGUCGAGUUGCUUGGACAACUAGGAUGUUGGCUUAGAAGCAGCCAUUCAUUUAAAGAGUGCGUAAUAGCUCACUAGUCUAGCGACUCGGCGUCGACAAUACUCGGGACUUAAAUCGCUUACCGAAGCCGCGGGUCCGAUUUAUCGGGCGGUAGAGGAACAUUCCAUCGACGCUGAAGGCGCCGCGCGAGCGGCGUUGGAGUUUAUGGAAAAGAAAAUGUAGGCAUGAGUAACGAUAAAAUCGAUGAAAAAUCGGUUCGCCGAAAGUCUAAGGUUUCCUGAGCAACGCUAAUCGACUCAGGGUUAGUCGGAUCCUAAGCCGAGGCCGAAAGGCGUAGGCGAUGGUAAACGGGUCAACAUUCCCGUACCCGGCUAAAAUCGUUUGACCGUAAGGAGAGACGCGGAAGUGAAAGGUCGGCCGCCUGGUGGAUUAGGCGGUCUAAGCGCGUAGGCGGAAGGAAUAGGCAAAUCCGUUCCUUCUUAACGCCGAGACGCAAAUGGGAGGGCUUUGCCCACAAACCGACCCUAAGCAGGCCGCCGAGAAAAUCUUCGUGCGGGAGAUUUUAGUCGGACCGUACCGCAAACCGACACAGGUAGACGAGACGAGAAUUCUUAGGCGCUCGAGUGAGUCGUGGUUAAGGAACUCGGCAAACUAGCCCCGUAACUUCGGGAGAAGGGGCGCCUUCGUUAGGUGAAGCCACUUGCUGGCCGAGCCGAAGAAGGUCGCAGUGACCAGGCCCAAGCGACUGUUUAACAAAAACACAUGUCUCUGCGAAGGCAAUCAAGACGAUGUAUAGGGACUGACACCUGCCCGGUGCUGGAAGGUUAAGGGGAGAAGUUAGCGCAAGCGAAGCUUUGAACCGAAGCCCCAGUAAACGGCGGCCGUAACUAUAACGGUCCUAAGGUAGCGAAAUUCCUUGUCGGGUAAGUUCCGACCUGCACGAAUGGCGUAACGACUUCCCCACUGUCUCGACCAGGGACUCGGUGAAAUUGAAUUCGCGGUGAAGAUGCCGCGUACCCGCGAAAAGACGGAAAGACCCCGUGAACCUUUACUGCAACUUGGCAGUGAGGCUCGGGACAGUCUGCGUAGGAUAGGUGGGAGACUUAGAAGGCGGGAUUCCGGUCUCGUUGGAGUCACCCUUGAAAUACCACCCUGGCUGUUCUGGGCUUCUAACCUAGGCCCGUAAUCCGGGUCGGGGACACUGCCUGGUGGGCAGUUUGACUGGGGCGGUCGCCUCCCAAAAGGUAACGGAGGCGCGCGAAGGU
rnacentral:rRNA from 1 species